rnacentral:rRNA from 1 species
AGUAAUGCUUGGGAAUCUGGCUUAUGGAGGGGGAUAACUACGGGAAACUGUAGCUAAUACCGCGUAGUAUCGGAAGAUGAAAGUGUGGGACCUUCGGGCCACAUGCCAUAGGAUGAGCCCAAGUGGGAUUAGGUAGUUGGUGAGGUAAAGGCCUACCAAGCCUGCGAUCUCUAGCUGGUCUGAGAGGAUGGCCAGCCACACUGGAACUGAGACACGGUCCAGACUCC